UACAGAGGUCCCGAGCGUUGUUCGGAUUCACUGGGCGUAAAGGGUGCGUAGGCGGUCGGGUAAGUCUGGCGUGAAAUCUCCAAGCCUAACUUGGAAACUGCGUUGGAUACUAUCCGGCUCGAGGAAUGGAGGGGAGACUGGAAUACUUGGUGUAGCAGUGAAAUGCGUAGAGAUCGGGAGGAACACCAGUGGCGAAGGCGGCCUUCUGGACCAGUACUGACGCUCAUGCACGAAAGCGUGGGGAGCAAACAGG
rnacentral:rRNA from 1 species